rnacentral:lncRNA from 1 species
GGCCAGCAGCUUCCCGAGCUCCUCGUCGUUGCGGAUCGCCAGGAGCACGUGGCGCGGGAUGAUGCGCGUCUUCUUGUUGUCUUUCGCCGCGUUCCCUGCCAACUCCAGAACCUCGGCGGCGAGGUACUCCAGGACGGCGGCGAGGUAGACGGGGGCGCCAGUGCCCACGCGCUGCGCGUACCGGCCCUUCUUGAGGUAGCGCCCGAUCCGGCCGACGGGGAACUGCAGCCCGGCCUUGACGGACCGCGUCACCGACUUCUUCCUGGGG